GACGAGUCAAAGAGCAGAAUUCAACCUGGUGGGUCAUUUUAGCUGCCUCCCCCCCCUUUCUAGCGAUAACAAAGUUGCUGGUCAGCAGCGCAAUCCAGGUUGGGUCUCUCCUUGAUGUCAGGGAACGUCCCAUCCUGGAUCUCCUGGGGAGAAUGGCCUCCAAACUUCAGAUGUGGCGAGAAAUUUCUGCCAGCCUUACGAAGAGAGGGAGGUGGAGUGAAGUAUCCUGCUUCUACUCUACCUCUUGAAAAGCUGACUUCAGAUACAAAUGACUACACUCCUUAAAUCAUCCUUGUUUCUCUGAGCUGAUAUAAAAAUGU